AGUGAACGCUGGCGGCGUGCUUAACACAUGCAAGUCGAACGAGAUCUUCGGAUCUAGUGGCAGACGGGUGAGGAACACGUGGGAACAUCCCUUUCAGUUCGGAAUAACGUUGGGAAACUAACGCUAAUACCGGAUACGUCCUUCGGGAGAAAGAUUUAUCGCUGAAAGAUUGGCCCGCGUCUGAUUAGCUAGUUGGUGAGGUAACGGCUCACCAAGGCUACGAUCAGUAGCUGAUCUGAGAGGAUGAUCAGCCACAUUGGGACUGAGACACGGCCCAAACUCCUACGGGAGGCAGCAUUGGGGAAUAUUGGACAAUGGGCGCAAGCCUGAUCCAGCCAUGCCGCGUGAGUGAUGAAGGCCUUCGGGUUGUAAAGCUCUUUUGUCCGGGAAGAUAAUGACUGUACCGGAAGAAUAAGCCCCGGCAAACUUCGUGCCAGCCGCCGCAGUAA
rnacentral:rRNA from 1 species